rnacentral:misc_RNA from 1 species
UAUUAUUAUUAUUGUUAUUAUUUUUUUAUAAUGAGGGCUAGGGUUUGUUUGGUAGGGCUUAUUUAAUAUGUUUUUAUGAAUUUUGUGGAUAGGGUAGGGUUUUGUGUCCUUAACCUUUUAUUUGGAUUGGUAGAAAAGAGGAAAGAAAAGAAAAUUGAUUUCUUUAAAUUCUUUUAUUUGGACAAGAAGAAUUGAAGAGAAAAAAAGAGAAAAGAGG